AGCAGCCGCGGUAAUUCCAGCUCCAAUAGCGUAUAUUAAAGUUGUUGCAGUUAAAAAGCUCGUAGUUGAAUUUCGGGAUCAAGUCGUUAGGUCGUGCUCAAGUACGUACUGGCGUCAUUGAUUUCUCCCUUCUGACGAACCAUGAUGUCAUUAAUUUGGUGUUAUGGGAAAUCAGGACUGUUACUUUGAAAAAUUAGAGUGUUUAAAGCAAGCUCACGCUUGAAUACAUUAGCAUGGAAUAAUGAAAUAGGACGUUCGAUCCUAUUUUGUUGGUUUUAGGAUCAACGUAAUGAUUAAUAGGGAUAGUUGGGGGCAUUAGUAUUCAAUUGUCAGAGGUGAAAUUCUUGGAUUUAUUGAAGACUAACUACUGCGAAAGCAUUUGCCAAGGAUGUUUUCAUUAAUCAAGAACGAAAGUUAGGGGAUCGAAGACGAUCAGAUACCGUCGUAGUCUUAACCAUAAACUAUGCCGACUAGGGAUCGGAUGAUGUAAUUUUAAUGACUCAUUCGGCGUACC
rnacentral:misc_RNA from 1 species